rnacentral:rRNA from 1 species
UACGUAGGGUGCGAGCGUUAAUCGGAAUUACUGGGCGUAAAGCGUGCGCAGGCGGCGCGCUAAGACAGGUGUGAAAGCCCCGAGCUUAACUUGGGAAUUGCGCUUGUGACUGGCGAGCUGGAGUGUGGCAGAGGGAGGUGGAAUUCCACGUGUAGCAGUGAAAUGCGUAGAGAUGUGGAGGAACACCGAUGGCGAAGGCAGCCUCCUGGGCCAGCACUGACGCUCAUGCACGAAAGCGUGGGGAGCAAACAGG